GACGAACGCUGGCGGCGUGCUUAACACAUGCAAGUCGAACGGAAAGGCCCUGCUUUUGUGGGGUGCUCGAGUGGCGAACGGGUGAGUAACACGUGAGUAACCUGCCCUUGACUUUGGGAUAACUUCAGGAAACUGGGGCUAAUACCGGAUAGGAGCUCCUGCUGCAUGGUGGGGGUUGGAAAGUUUCGGCGGUUGGGGAUGGACUCGCGGCUUAUCAGCUUGUUGGUGGGGUAGUGGCUUACCAAGGCUUUGACGGGUAGCCGGCCUGAGAGGGUGACCGGCCACAUUGGGACUGAGAUACGGCCCAGACUCCUACGGGAGGCAGCAGUGGGGAAUAUUGCACAAUGGGCGGAAGCCUGAUGCAGCAACGCCGCGUGCGGGAUGACGGCCUUCGGGUUGUAAACCGCUUUCGCCUGUGACGAAGCGUGAGUGACGGUAAUGGGUAAAGAAGCACCGGCUAACUACGUGCCAGCAGCCGCGGUGAUACGUAGGGUGCGAGCGUUGUCCGGAUUUAUUGGGCGUAAAGGGCUCGUAGGUGGUUGAUCGCGUCGGAAGUGUAAUCUUGGGGCUUAACCCUGAGCGUGCUUUCGAUACGGGUUGACUUGAGGAAGGUAGGGGAGAAUGGAAUUCCUGGUGGAGCGGUGGAAUGCGCAGAUAUCAGGAGGAACACCAGUGGCGAAGGCGGUUCUCUGGGCCUUUCCUGACGCUGAGGAGCGAAAGCGUGGGGAGCGAACAGGCUUAGAUACCCUGGUAGUCCACGCUGUAAACGGUGGGUACUAGGUGUGGGGUCCAUUCCACGGGUUCCGUGCCGUAGCUAACGCUUUAAGUACCCCGCCUGGGGAGUACGGCCGCAAGGCUAAAACUCAAAGGAAUUGACGGGGCCCCGCACAAGCGGCGGAGCAUGCGGAUUAAUUCGAUGCAACGCGUAGAACCUUACCUGGGUUUGACAUGGAUCGGGAGUGCUCAGAGAUGGGUGUGCCUCUUUUGGGGUCGGUUCACAGGUGGUGCAUGGCUGUCGUCAGCUCGUGUCGUGAGAUGUUGGGUUAAGUCCCGCAACGAGCGCAACCCUUGUUCACUGUUGCCAGCACGUUAUGGUGGGGACUCAGUGGAGACCGCCGGGGUCAACUCGGAGGAAGGUGGGGGUGACGUCAAGUCAUCAUGCCCCUUAUGUCAGGGCUUCACGCAUGCUACAAUGGCUGGUACAGAGAGUGGCGAGCCUGUGAGGGUGAGCGAAUCUCGGAAAGCCGGUCUCAGUUCGGAUUGGGGUCUGCAACUCGACCUCAUGAAGUCGGAGUCGCUAGUAAUCGCAGAUCAGCAACGCUGCGGUGAAUACGUUCCCGGG
rnacentral:rRNA from 1 species